UACGUAGGGGGCAAGCGUUGUCCGGAUUUAUUGGGCGUAAAGAGCUCGUAGGCGGUUUGGUAAGUCGGGUGUGAAAUCUCCACGCUCAACGUGGAGGGGCCACUCGAUACUGCCAUGACUCGAGUCCGGUAGAGGAGUGUGGAAUUCCCGGUGUAGCGGUGAAAUGCGCAGAUAUCGGGAGGAACACCCGUAGCGAAGGCGGCACUCUGGGCCGAUACUGACGCUGAUGCGCGAAAGCCAGGGGAGCGAACGGG
rnacentral:rRNA from 1 species